rnacentral:snoRNA from 1 species
AUGUCUCUUGCCUCGCUCGGUCUUCUGCUUCUCUCGGUUGAUCUUGAGCUGGAUGCAGCCUGCACUCUCAUGUGCAGGUCUGUAUGAGACGAGAAUGAGGUUUUUUGCCCUCGACGAUCUUUGAGUACGGUUUUAUCCGUUAUGCACCACGGAUAUUGAAUCGUAAUUUAUCAGUCGGGACAGUC